rnacentral:lncRNA from 1 species
ACUCUUCCUUCGGGCAUACCAUCCAUUUACCGAAUAUGCACAUCUCAUCAUAUAUAAUAGGCAGAUAAAUUCUCACUUGAUAGUGAUCUCUUAUAAACAUAGGUACAUUACAUAUUUUCACCUAACUUUCCACAUUGACCAAACGCACAAUAAUCAUAGAACAGUCUUAUUGCUUUACUCACAUAUGCAUCACAUAACGACCUUGUGAUUUAGCCCAAAUCAAGCUUAAAUAUAAUCUCAAAAUACAUACCUGACCAACUUAACACAUUGAACAUAUUUAUUACCAAUUGUUACUGUGAAGUCGUAUAAUCUUAUGCUUUACUCGAAUCUUCAGCGAAACCUUUAGCUCGAAUAGUCCCCACACGUAGUUAUCGGGUCUUACCCGGACAA